UGAAGAGCCGCUGUUUAAUCGGUUGCUGUUAGAAUAAUUAUCUAAGUUCAUUUACUUGUGAGUUUAUUUGAAAGGUUAUGUUUUCAUAUUAUUAUUUUGCUUAAUGUUACUUGACUUCUUCUCUUCUGUGAAACACUAUUAACCAUUUGUAGGAUGUUUGCCUGGAGGCUAGAGACCACACAUUCCUGUGUUAUCUGCUCCAUAUGUAAUUGAUUAGUUGUGGUCAGCCAUGCCCUUUUAAGGGCAUGCCCACAGACGGUUCCAAGAGCACCCUGUAGAAAAAGGUCAUUGGUCAAAUUCUUUGUGUGACUAUGUGAGAAGGCCCAACCUCCUUCCUUGUAUUUUCUAAUAAAACCAAAUGCAGA